rnacentral:rRNA from 1 species
CCUACGGGAGGCUGCAGUGGGGAAUAUUGGACAAUGGGGGCAACCCUGAUCCAGCCAUGCCGCGUGUGUGAAGAAGGCCCUCGGGUUGUAAAGCACUUUCAGUGAGGAAGAACGCCUGGUGGUUAAUACCCAUCAGGAAAGACAUCACUCACAGAAGAAGCACCGGCUAACUCCGUGCCAGCAGCCGCGGUAAUACGGAGGGUGCGAGCGUUAAUCGGAAUUACUGGGCGUAAAGCGCGCGUAGGUGGCUUGAUAAGCCGGUUGUGAAAGCCCCGGGCUCAACCUGGGAACGGCAUCCGGAACUGUCAAGCUAGAGUGCAGGAGAGGAAGGUAGAAUUCCCGGUGUAGCGGUGAAAUGCGUAGAGAUCGGGAGGAAUACCAGUGGCGAAGGCGGCCUUCUGGACUGAUACUGACACUGAGGUGCGAAAGCGUGGGUAGCAAACAGGAUUAGAUACCCGUGUAGUC